rnacentral:ncRNA from 1 species
AAAGGUUUGGUCCUGGCCUUAUUAUUUAUUUAAAUUAUGAUUAUACAUGCAAGCCUCAACAUUCCGGUGAGAAUUCCCAUUAGUACCCUUUAGUAACAACGGAGAAGGUAUCAGGCACCAAUAGCCCAAAACACCUUGCUAAGCCACACCUACACAGGAAAUCAGCAGUAAUAAACAUUGAAUAUAAGUGUCAACUUGAUUCAGCAAUAAUUUAUAGGGUCGGUAAAUCUCGUGCCAGCCACCGCGGUUAUACGAAAGACUCAAAUUAAUAUACACGGCCCAAAGAGUAGUUAUAGAAAAAUCUUAAUAGAAAUGAGCAUCAUCUAAGCUGUCAUACGCAAAUUAUGAUUGAAACAAAAUAUUCUACUACACUUGAAGCUACUACAGCCAUGAAACAAACUGGGAUUAGAUACCCCACUAUGCCUGGCCAUAAACUUUGGAAAUACCCGCCGGAGCACUACGAGCCACAGCUUAAAAUUCAAAGGACUUGGCGGUGCCAUACAACCAUCUAGAGGAGCCUGUUCUAUAAUCGAUAACCCCCGAUAAACCUCACCACCCUUUGCCUAUACAGCCUAUAUACCACCGUCUUCAGCUUACCCUUUAAAUGCCUAAUAGUAAGCAAAAAUAAUUUAAAUAAAAAAGUCAGGUCAAGGUGUAGCAUAUAGGGCGGAAAGAAAUGGGCUACAUUUUCUAAAUAGAAAAUUACGAAAUAUUUUAUGAAAUAAAAUAUAAAGGAGGAUUUAGUAGUAAAAAGAAAAUAGAGUGUUAUUUUUAAAUUGGCAAUAUGGCGCGCACACACCGCCCGUCACCCUCUUUAAAUUAUACUAAAUUAAAUAAACUAGUUCUUAAACAAGAAGAGGAAAGUCGUAACAUGGUAAGUCUACCGGAAGGUGGCCUUGGACAU